AAGAAAUCACUAUAUUUUUGGUCUAAUGUGAAUAGGUAAGAGGGUAGCGCGAGUGAUGAUGGAGCGAGCACCUGUUAAAAGUGGCUCCCAUCGUCAACACUCACAGGGCUAAGAGGAGGUGCUAUUCUAGUGACUCCAACAAUAAGGACAGGAGUCAAACCACAUCAUUAGUGUAAAUAAUGGAUUUCAUUAUCACAGCUUUUUUUCACUGGAUCUCAAAGCACUACAUGUACUAGCUUGGUCACUGACAGAGGUUAACAGGUAUUUGUACUAGCUUGGUCACUGACAGAGGUUAACAGGUAUUUGUACUAGCUUGGUCACUGACAGUGCUUAACAGGUAUUUUUACUAGCUUGGUCACUGACAGUGCUUAACAGGUAUUUGUACUAGCUUGGUCACUGACAGUGCUUAACAGGUAUUUUUACUAGCUUGGUCACUGACAGUGCUUAACAGGUGUUUUUCAUAAAUACAUGGUUCUUAAAGCAUACUAUCAAUCAAUACUUUAUAGAAUAGGCAGGCAAGUGAUAUUGAACAAACAUUCUGAAA